rnacentral:lncRNA from 1 species
CAACUUUCGAUACCAUCUGUCAAAGUUGGUUCCUAUAAAUAAGUCACUGUCAAACAAUGAAUAAAGCAACGGACAUCUAGCCAUAAUUGAAAGAAAAAUACAAGACCUCUAAGUUUAUGAAUUGAUUAAGCCUAAAAACUUAGACUUUAGUCUAAAAAUUUUCUACUAUUUUAUUUGAAUUGAUAGUCUCUACCUCCAAUCUGAGAAAUUUCUCUAAUUUCUUAAUGGGUACUAGAAUCCACAC